UCUGACACUAUAAAUACAGAUCUCAGAGGAAAAAAAAAAGGAAAAACAGAGAAGAAAAAAGGGGAGAAAACAUAAGCAGGGACCCGAAAAAUCAACCCAGAAACCAGAGCAAAGAACAGAGUAAAAACCAGAGCAAAAAAAAUAUACAGAGAGAAGGAGAGAACAAGAGGGCAGCACACACAGUGACGAGAAUUAUCCUUGAAAUUGUCUUCGUCCCUGCAAACAAAGGAAAGACCCGUAUUCAUUCAAAGAACACUCACAGCAGACCGACAUCAUCUUCGUAGUUUUAAAAGCUGCUGAGAAAGCAAGAAGGAAAGCACAGACAAGUGAUCACAAAAGGAAGACAAGGGGAAACAGUAGGCGAGAAUCAUCAUCAGUGCUGCAAACAUCUUCGGUCUCCAGAAGCAGAUCAUAAAUCUCCAUCCCUGCCUGUCCAAAUAGAACGUAUCGGUAUCAAUCCGUGGCACCAUUAGGAAAGGCUAGUUUGAAUACUACCGGUGCAUGCUAGCUCUACUUGGAGAAUAAAGAAGAACAAGACUGGAAACCUGCAGCAUCGCAAAUUAGAUUUUGUUACCUUCAGGUAAAUUGGCAAGGAGGGUUCAGUUUGAAAUUUCUGCUUACGCAUUCCGGCUUCAAGAUCCUCCGCUGCAACAACCAUAGAUAUAGGACUGUGUAAACUAAUGACAGAAUCAAGAUGUUUUUGAUGCUAAAGAAGAAGAAGAAGUUGUUUUGCUUCUUGAAUGAUAAAUAACAUGGUAUGUGAUGAACAUUUUAAGCAAUUCUCAUUUUAGCCAAUAUUUCUCUAAA